GGCCGUGUAGCUCAAUGGCAGAGCGUCUGACUACGAUUAACCUCCGGGAGUUAGCCACGUAAUCAGAAGGUCGCAGGUUCGACCCCUGUCUCGGUCA
rnacentral:tRNA from 1 species